rnacentral:rRNA from 1 species
CGGGGUGAGUAACGCGUGGGUAACCUGCCCCAUACAGGGGGAUAACAGUUAGAAAUGACUGCUAAUACCGCAUAAGCGCACUGCAUCGCAUGAUGAAGUGUGAAAAACUGAGGUGGUAUGGGAUGGGCCCGCGUCUGAUUAGCCAGUUGGCGGGGUAACGGCCCACCAAAGCGACGAUCAGUAGCCGACCUGAGAGGGUGACCGGCCACAUUGGGACUGAGACACGGCCCAAACUCCUACGGGAGGCAGCAG